CUACACUGGAGCAUGUUGCUGGACUGCACUCCUCUUUUCAACCAGUCACAGAACCUUCCACAACAUCUACCCGUCCCACUUCUACAGUCUCUUUACAGCCGGUCACUUCCACAACAUCUACCAGUCCCACUCCUACAGUCUCUUUACAGC